CAAUAUUGCUCUUUCACACGCAUCUUAAUUGAAUUCUUCUCUAAGGUCUUUCACCAUAUGUAGAAUAACACUGAUUGAUAGGCUGACAUUGAUAACAGGUUCUUGUUCCUCAUCUAAGACAGUCAUAACAGCAAGCGGAAGAUGCUCUGACUCAAGGCAUGGAGAAAUUGCAAUCGACUCUUGCUGAAUUGGCGGCUACUGGUCAACUGAUAGAAGGAGGUUGCAUCCCAAGAAGUUGGAAGCUCUAGUCAGCUUUGUGAACCAGGCAAGAUUCCGCAUCAAUUCUCAAUCAAGCUGACUAUCUUCGCCAAAAAACACUACAGCAGAUGUCUCAUAUCCUAACAACUCACCAGGCAGCUUGCACUAGCAGAGUACUUCCAACGCCUUAGAGCUUUGAGUUCAAUUUGGGCCUCGGCCUCGUAGGCCUGUUUAAUCUUAUACCAGAAGUAAUCAACAAGCUCAAAAUUUCUGGAAGAUCAUCACUGCAUGAAUUUUGUUUCCCAAUCAGAGGUGUCUCUGGACAUUGCUGUUAUAAACAUAGUCUGCAUAUUUUGAGCUGCUGACAUUUUUGAAGCAGCUGCAAGUGUCCACUGAAAUUGUAAAUAUAUGUAGUCCUUUUCCCAGAAAAAUUUAUGUUUGUAAUUAAAUCAAUUUUCGAUGUGUGAUCUACAUUUCAUGAUCUGUUAAAGAAUAUAUUCAUGUAAAUUUUUACAAGGCAACAGUCUUCUUUGUUGUUACAUAAAUUGUGUAUUUAUAA